rnacentral:tRNA from 1 species
ACAAUCCACUGCCUUGAUCCACUUGGCUACAU